rnacentral:rRNA from 1 species
AUGAACGCUGGCGGCGUGCCUAAUACAUGCAAGUCGAGCGAACAGACGAGGAGCUUGCUCCUCUGACGUUAGCGGCGGACGGGUGAGUAACACGUGGAUAACCUACCUAUAAGACUGGGAUAACUUCGGGAAACCGGAGCUAAUACCGGAUAACAUGUUGAACCGCAUGGUUCAACAGUGAAAGACGGUCUUGCUGUCACUUAUAGAUGGAUCCGCGCCGCAUUAGCUAGUUGGUAAGGUAACGGCUUACCAAAGCAACGAUGCGUAGCCGACCUGAGAGGGUGAUCGGCCACACUGGAACUGAGACACGGUCCAGACUCCUACGGGAGGCAGCAGUAGGGAAUCUUCCGCAAUGGGCGAAAUCCUGACGGAGCAACGCCGCGUGAGUGAAGAAGGUCUUCGGAUCGUAAAACUCUGUUAUUAGGGAAGAACAAAUGUGUAAGUAACUAUGCACGUCUUGACGGUACCUAAUCAGAAAGCCACGGCUAACUACGUG